GAUGAACGCUGGCGGCGUGCUUAACACAUGCAAGUCGAACGGAAAGGCCCUGCUUUUGUGGGGCUCUCGAGUGGCGAACGGGUGAGUAACACGUGAGUAACCUGCCCUUGACUGUGGGAUAACUUCAGGAAACUGGGGCUAAUACCGCAUAGGAGCUCCUGCUGCAUGGUGUGGGUUGGAAAGUUUCGGCGGUUGUGGAUGGACUCGCGGGUUAUCAGCUAGUUUGUGAGGUAGUGGCUUACCAAGGCUUUGACGGGUAGCCGGCCUGAGAGGGUUACCGGCGACAAUGGGACUGAGAGACGGAGCAGACUGCUACGGGAGGCAGCAGUGGGGAGUAUUGCACAAUAGGCGGAAGCGUGAUGCAGCAACGCCGCGUGCGGGAUGCCGGCCUUCGAGUUGUAAACAGAUUUCGAAUGUGACGAAGCGUGCGUGACGGUAAUGGGUAAAGAAGCAACGGCUAACUACGUG
rnacentral:rRNA from 1 species